GUCUACAGCCAUACCAUUCUGAACAUGCCCGAUCUUGUCUGAUCUCAGAAGCUAAGCAGGGUCGGGCCUGGUUAGUACUUGGAUGAGAGACAGGGCAUAUGUACACA
rnacentral:rRNA from 1 species